AUGGGCUCGGAGGGGCCGGGGCAUGGGUUCGGAUCCGGGGCGGCGGAGGAGAGGGACAUCGACGAUCUCCCGCGGAACGACGCCAACUACACGGCGCUGACGCCGCUCUGGUUCCUCGAGCGGGCCGCCCUGGCCCAGCCGGACAGGGCGUCCGUCGUGCACGGCCCGGUCCGGUACACCUGGGCCGAGACCUACCGCCGGUGCCGCCGCCUCGCCUCUGCACUGGCGCGCCGAUCUGUCGGCCACGGCAGCACUGUAAAUUUCUCUCCCCUGCUUUCCUAA
rnacentral:rRNA from 1 species